GAGUUUGAUCGUGGCUCAGAACGAACGCUGGCGGCAUGCCUAACACAUGCAAGUCGAACGGGAUCCAGGCUUCGGCCUGGUGAGAGUGGCGGACGGGUGAGUAACGCGUGGGAACCUGCCCAAUGGUCUGGGAUAACCGCGGGAAACUGCGGCUAAUACCGGAUAAGCCCGAGAGGGGAAAGAUUUAUCGCCGAUGGAGGGGCCCGCGUCCGAUUAGGUAGUUGGUGAGGUAACGGCUCACCAAGCCGACGAUCGGUAGCUGGUCUGAGAGGAUGAUCAGCCACACUGGGACUGAGAUACGGCCCAGACUCCUACGGGAGGCAGCAGUGGGGAAUAUUGGACAAUGGGGGCAACCCUGAUCCAGCAAUGCCGCGUGAGUGAUGAAGGCCUUAGGGUUGUAAAGCUCUUUUGGCGGGACGAUGAUGACGGUACCCGCAGAAUAAGCCCCGGCUAACUUCGUGCCAGCCGCCGCAGUAAU
rnacentral:rRNA from 1 species